CCUACGGGAGGCAGCAGUAGGGAAUCUUCCACAAUGGGCGAAAGCCUGAUGGAGCAACGCCGCGUGAGUGAUGAAGGCCUUCGGGUUGUAAAACUCUGUCAUUCGGGACGAACCGGAGUCUGAGGAAAUGCAGACUCUCUGACGGUACCGGAGGAGGAAGCCCCGGCUAACUACGUGCCAGCAGCCGCGGUAAUACGUAGGGGGCAAGCGUUGUCCGGAUUCACUGGGCGUAAAGCGCGCGCAGGCGGUGAUGUAAGUCUGAGGUGAAAACCCGAAGCUCAACUUCGGGACUGCCUUGGAUACUGCGUCACUUGAGGAUAGGAGAGGCAAGGGGAAUUCCACGUGUAGCGGUGAAAUGCGUAGAGAUGUGGAGGAACACCUGUGGCGAAGGCGCCUUGCUGGCCUAUUUCUGACGCUGAGGCGCGAAAGCGUGGGGAGCAAACAGGAUUAGAUACCCUGGUAGUCCACGCUGUAAACGAUGAGUGCUAGGUGUAGGUGGGCUCAUACCCAUCUGUGCCGAAGCUAACGCAUUAAGCACUCCGCCUGGGGAGUACGGUCGCAAGACUGAAACUUAAAUGAAUUGACGG
rnacentral:rRNA from 1 species